AGCAUCAAUGAAGGCACGUGGGUUGGUGAUGGCUACGAUAACAUGGAGACGGCCAUUCUAGUCUACAGUGGUGCGUGGAAAAAAAGACGACGAAAAGGCAGCCUUUGAUUACCUUGUCAGCGAAGACCUCCAAGCAAGGCUGUCGUGUACGUACCUGGUGAAGUAUUGGAACGAAACCCAAGACCCAGAGCACACAAAGCACAUAAUGCAAUGACGUGCUGAAGGCCCUGUGCAUGUCUAUAGCGUUGUGUUCUGCUCUUUUCGGUGCAGGCUUGAAAUAAAUCACUUCAGACAGAAGAUGGAAACAA